CUACGUAGCUCAGAGUUUGAUCCUGGCUCAGGACGAACGCUGGCGGCGUGCCUAACACAUGCAAGUCGAACGGGGUUGCGAGAGCUUGCUUUUGCAACUUAGUGGCGAACGGGUGAGUAACGCGUGAGGAACCUGCCUUCCAGUGGGGGACAACAGUUGGAAACGACUGCUAAUACCGCAUAACAUAUCCGAGGGGCAUCCCUUGGAUAUCAAAGCUUUAUGUGCUGGAAGAUGGCCUCGCGUCUGAUUAGCUAGUUGGUGGGGUAACGGCCUACCAAGGCGACGAUCAGUAGCCGGUCUGAGAGGAUGAACGGCCACAUUGGGACUGAGAUACGGCCCAG
rnacentral:rRNA from 1 species